rnacentral:rRNA from 1 species
UACGUAGGGCGCAAGCGUUAUCCGGAAUUAUUGGGCGUAAAAAGCUCGUAGGCGGUUUGUCGCGUCUGCCGUGAAAGUCCGGGGCUCAACUCCGGAUCUGCGGUGGGUACGGGCAGACUAGAGUGAUGUAGGGGGAGACUGGAAUUCCUGGUGUAGCGGUGAAAUGCGCAGAUAUCAGGAGGAACACCGAUGGCGAAGGCAGGUCUCUGGGCAUUAACUGACGCUGAGGAGCGAAAGCGUGGGGAGCAAACAGG